rnacentral:rRNA from 1 species
AACGAACGCUGGCGGCAUGCCUAACACAUGCAAGUCGAACGAGACCUUCGGGUCUAGUGGCGCACGGGUGCGUAACGCGUGGGAACCUGCCCUUAGGUUCGGAAUAACUCCCCGAAAGGGGUGCUAAUACCGGAUAAUGUCUUCGGACCAUAGAUUUAUCGCCUUUGGAUGGGCCCGCGUUGGAUUAGCUAGUUGGUAGGGUAAAAGCCUACCAAGGCGACGAUCCAUAGCUGGUCUGAGAGGAUGAUCAGCCACACUGGGACUGAGACACGGCCCAGACUCCUACGGGAGGCAGCAGUGGGGAAUAUUGGACAAUGGGCGAAAGCCUGAUCCAGCAAUGCCGCGUGAGUGAUGAAGGCCUUAGGGUUGUAAAGCUCUUUUACCCGGGAUGAUAAUGACAGUACCGGGAGAAUAAGCUCCGGCUAACUCCGUG